rnacentral:tRNA from 1 species
UUCCCUCUAGCUCAGACGGUAAAGAAUCUGCCUACAAUGCAGGAGACCUGGGUUCGAUCCCCAGGCAGGGAAG